UUUCCGUAGGUGAACCUGCGGAAGGAUCAUUAUCAUGUAAUUCAGUCCCCUUGGCUGUGUUAUAUAUAUACCCACUCUGUGUACCUUCUCCUGUUGCUUCCGCUGGGUGUGUAAUUCGCCCGGCGGGAGGGUAAAAAUAACCUCUGAGUAUUGAUGAAAUCUCUGUCUGAACCGAAUAGAAAGAAAAAUGUUAAAACUUUCAGCAACGGAUCUCUUGGUUCUC
rnacentral:misc_RNA from 1 species